GGGCCUGGCGGCCACAAAGACUGGAAGCGAGGUCCCUGCGCAGGAGACUAAUGAGAUUAACGACUAACGUCUUUUGAGCACUCACUGUAUGCCAGGACCUGCCUUCAACGCUUUAGAGGAAUCCGCACCUUAUCCUAUUUAGCCCCAUUUUACAGAUGAAGAAAUUGAGGCACAGAGAGUUUAAAUAAAAUGUCCAAGAGAAUUUCCGGAGACUGCAGGCUGGUGGGUUCGUUCUUGCCCGGUUCCCAGCUUUGAACACAAGGUGAGGAAACACUGCAGGUUUCUUAGGAUACGGUUGGGUGAAGACUGGCCCUUCCCAGAGCCGCGGGAGACACGCGAAGACCCAGCCUGGCCAGCGAUGGUGGCUCCAGAAUCUCCAGAAGGCCCGGGUAGCUGGAGCAGAAAUGCUUCCAAAAAAGUGAAUCCGAGAAGUUUGGAGUGUGAUCUGCACAUGGAGCGAUGGCGUGAGAUAACACCCCCCUCAUUGCCUGCACUGCGCAGCCUCCCUUUGCCCACCCUUGGCCCUCCACUGUGCUCAUUCCCUGUUGUUAACGGGGCUUCCCUGGUGGCGCAGUGGUUGAGAAUCUGCCUGCCAAUGCAGGGGACACGGGUUCGAGCCCUGGUCUGGGAGGAUCCCACAUGCCACGGAGCAACUGGGCCCGUGAGCCACAAUUACUGAGCCUGCGCGUCUGGAGCCUGUGCUCCACAACAAGAGAGGCCGCGAUAGUGAGAGGCCCGCGCACCGCGAUGAAGAGAGGCCCCCGCUUGCCACAACUAGAGAAAGCCCUCGCACAGAAACGAAGA